AGUGAAUAGAUACCCGGGUAGUCCCAGCCGUAAACGAUGCUCGCUAGGUGUCAGGCAUGGCGCGACCGUGUCUGGUGCCGCAGGGAAGCCGUGAAGCGAGCCACCUGGGAAGUACGGCCGCAAGGCUGAAACUUAAAGGAAUUGGCGGGGGAGCACAACAACGGGUGGAGCCUGCGGUUUAAUUGGACUCAACGCCGGACAACUCACCGGGGGCGACAGCAAUAUGUAGGCCAAGCUGAAGACUUUGCCUGAAUCGCUGAGAGGAGGUGCAUGGCCGUCGCCAGUUCGUACUGUGAAGCAUCCUGUUAAGUCAGGCAACGAGCGAGACCCGUGCCCACUGUUACCAGCAUGUCCUGGUAC
rnacentral:rRNA from 1 species